CCAGAGAACUUAGCAGAGAUUGCUUUUGGUGCCUUCGGGAACUCUGAGACAGGUGCUGCAUGGCUGUCGUCAGCUCGUGUUGUGAAAUGUUGGGUUAACGUCCCGCAACGAGCGCAACCCUUAUCCUUUGUUGCCAGCGGCUCGGCCGGGAACUCAAAGGAGACUGCCGGUGAUAAACCGGAGGAAGGUGGGGAUGACGUCAAGUCAUCAUGGCCCUUACGGCCAGGGCUACACACGUGCUACAAUGGCGCAUACAAAGAGAAGCGACCUCGCGAGAGCAAGCGGACCUCAUAAAGUGCGUCGUAGUCCGGAUUGGAGUCUGCAACUCGACUCCAUGAAGUCGGAAUCGCUAGUAAUCGUAGAUCAGAAUGCUACGGUGAAUACGUUCCCGGGCCUUGUACACACCGCCCGUCACACCAUGGGAGUGGGUUGCAAAAGAAGUAGGUAGCUUAACCUUCGGGAGGGCGCUUACCACUUUGUGAUUCAUGACUGGGGUGAAGUCGUAACAAGGUAAGCGUAGCGAG
rnacentral:rRNA from 1 species